rnacentral:tRNA from 1 species
CAGAUUAUAAAAUAAUUAUUUUGGAUAUAAUUUACAUAUAUCUGA